rnacentral:lncRNA from 1 species
AUGCGUUUCCAAAACCAGCGCUCCAGCCUCCUCGCCCCACCAAAAAAGAAAAAAAUAAAUCCCUCGGGGAGGAUUUUGGCCGCAGCAUUUUGGAGCUGGGGAAGGCUGAACCCAGCGGGCACCGAGGUUCAGCCCCCGCCGGCCGUGCUGCCCCCCGGCCCUGACGUCUUUUCCCACGCAGGGCCCCGGUGCUGCGUCACUGGGGGCGGCCUCGUGCCCCCGCCGCGGGCUGCAGCGGGCAGAGGGGUCAGGAGGCAGCAGCCUGGCCCCUGGCGAGGAGCCACUGGGCAUAAAUCCCCUUCCCGGGCAUCCCGAGGGCUCGUGAGCUUCGCAAAGCCCAGGUCCCCGAAGGAGGGGUUGGGGUUGCAGCGUGACAUCAAAAGGGACGGUGUCAGCCCGGGGAAGGUGAUCCCAGGGCACAGGACCGUGGGGCUCGGUGUUUCCAGCUCUGCUUUGACCAGGGGAGAGCACGGCCACAGGACCCUGAGGAUGCUGAAGCCACAGGGGACGGCUCCAGGCUCGGCUUUCCCGCAGGAGGGACGGGGGGGGGGACUCAAUUUGGACUCAUUCCCCUGGGGCCACCAGAGCACAAAGCAGCUGGGAAAGGCAACGGGAUGCGGGUAUGGGGCCAGGCACUGCCUGGUGCUGGUCCCCAGGGAGGAAAUCCAAGGUUUAACCGGGCAGAAACAACUUACCAAAACCCCUGGCAGGGGAGCUGCUGAAGGACGGGGGGGGGGGUUUUGCCUUGCAGGGCUGGGCUGGCAGUGCCAGAAGAUGCCCCCUCGGUGCACGGCUCCUUCCUCCGUGCGAGGAAAAUCCCCUCAGGGCAUUUUCCAGCCCCCUCCACCAGCAGCAGGACGAGCAGCUGGCACACGGGCGAUGGGAAGAGCUGCCACGGGGCUCCAACUCACCAGCCAAGGGUGCGGUUGCGUGCGGGGUUUUUGGGAGCAGGGCAGGGGGAAGCAGCACUGGGACGGACAGCCACGGGGACAGCAGCUGCCUCCACACCUCCCGGAUUUUAUCCCCUGCCCUAAGGGAGAUCAGGCCCGUGGGGAGGGUGCUGAGCCCUUCCCACGCAGCCCCGGGGAGCUCACCAAAGCACCUCUUAGCCUGGAUUUGCAACGGGUUGAGAUAAGAGGCAAUCGAGCAAGGCUGCAAUUUCCUCCCCGGCUGAUUUGUGUGCUGCCGCUGGGAGCCUGCUGCAGGUUCCUUCAGAGGCUUUCGUGCAGUUCCACAUCCGACAAGGGGCAGCUCAUCUGGAAAUAA